ACGAACGCUGGCGGCGUGCUUAACACCUGCAAGUCGAACGGAAAGGCCCUGCUUUUGUGGGGUGCUCGAGUGGCGAACGGGUGAGUAACACGUGAGUAACCUGCCCUUGACUUUGGGAUAACUUAAGGAAACUGGGGCUAAUACCGGAUAGGAGCUCCUGCUGCAUGGUGGGGGUUGGAAAGUUUCGGCGGUUGGGGAUGGACUCGCGGCUUAUCAGCUUGUUGGUGGGGUAGUGGCUUACCAAGGCUUUGACGGGUAGCCGGCCUGAGAGGGUGACCGGCCACAUUGGGACUGAGAUACGGCCCAGACUCCUACGGGAGGCAGCAGUGGGGAAUAUUGCACAAUGGGCGGAAGCCUGAUGCAGCAACGCCGCGUGCGGGAUGACGGCCUUCGGGUUGUAAACCGCUUUCGCCUGUGACGAAGCGUGAGUGACGGUAAUGGGUAAAGAAGCACCGGCUAACUACGUG
rnacentral:rRNA from 1 species